UCCGGUUUGACACCGGCAGUCUCGUUAGAGUCCUUCCGCCGAAGCGGAUUAGCAACUAACGACAGGGGUUUCGCUCGUUAAGGGACUUAACCCGACACUUCACAGCACGAGCUGACGACAGCCAUGCAGCACCUGUGCAUGUUCCACCCAAAGGGCGUCACUCUACUUUCAUAGAGCUAAUCCAUGCAUGUCAAGCCCAGGAUAAGGUUCUUCGCGUUGCCUCGAAUUAAGCCACAUGCUCCACCGCUUGUGUGAGCCCCCGUCAAUUCCUUUGAGUUUUAGUCUUGCGACCGUACUCCCCAGGCGGUGCACUUAUCGUUUUUACUUCGACCCGGAUGACGUCAGAGUCUCCCGAGUCUAGUGCACAUCGUUUACGGCGUGGACUAC
rnacentral:misc_RNA from 1 species